rnacentral:siRNA from 1 species
CGAACCCGUCGGCUGUCA